CUCCUUCCUGAUGCUGUCCUUUCCUCACCCCUUCCAGGCAGCAGGUCAGGCUGGGUGUGGUAGAGAAGAGAGCCACCCGGGAAGUCCAGCUACCAGAGGCUCGGGAGCAGAAGCAAUUGCCCCCUUCCCAGUCCUUACAGGUAGUGAAGUUGAAGCCCCUGUGAAGCAACGGCAGUCCUGCUUCUGAUUCUCCCAGCCUCCUAGAGAUACUGUCUUGGUAGUUACCUGGAUGCGAGUUGUUCUGUGACUGUGUAGAUGCACCUCAAAAGAGGGAAGUGGGGGAACCGGGAAUGAAGGCAUGCUUGGGUGCCCUGGCCAUGUCUGGCACUCAGUCUACAGGUUCAGACACGGGACUAGGCGUGAAACCCAGCCUCUUUGUGGCACUCUGGUCUUCCUCCUCUAGUUCCCUCGUCUCGGACAGACCGUCGCCCGGCCCCAGGCAGCGGUGUGGCGACUGAGCCCUCUCAGGGCAGCAGUACGCGGGCCCCGCCUACACGCUCCCCUUCAUGCACCCCCUCCACCCUCGGCCCGGCAGCCGCUGAAGUGGUCUCCGCGGACUCACAGACGACACUCACCUGCUCCGAGCGACAGCGGCAGCGGCGGCGGCAGCAGCAGCAGCAGCAGCAACAGCAGGAGCGCCAGCGGCGGCGGUCGCGGGCUUCGGGGGCGCACCAUGGCGGGGGGCGCACGCCGGGUGUUCGGGGGCGCUUCUCUGGCACCUCGCGCUGGAGCUCUGAGAGGGGCUCCUCAUCCGGCGCCUCCCACGGCUGCCUCCUGCCCCUCCUCAGGCGCGCGGCGCCGACACUCUCCCACCAGGGUCCUGGGCGCCGCCCUCCAACUCCGAAGCGGACGGACGCACCACGCCGCGUCUUCUACUGGACGGCGACAGCGGCAGGGGAGGGGGCGAGAGAGGGCGCGCGCUCAGGAGCAGCCUGGGCUUGGGCGCGAAAGCGUGCUCCACCCUGACCUGCCCACCUGCUGUCGCCUGCCAGCUUCGCUUUGAGGAGGCUUUCUAUUCAAGACACUGUGGAAGCUACUGCUGGAGAUUCGCCAUCUCCAGGGUCCAGCUAUUUACCUAAAAAAUCAUCUUGUCUCACUUUCCGGAACCCCCUCCUCACUGCCACUAAGGAAUCACCCCAAUGAAAUCUUGUAAUAAAUACAUAUGUUAAAGUUAUACGUACAA